rnacentral:rRNA from 1 species
UACAGAGACUGCAAGCGUUAUUCGGAUUCACUGGGCGUAAAGGGUGCGCAGGCGGCCAAGUGUGUGAGGCGUGAAAGCCCGGGGCUUAACCCCGGAAUUGCACCUCAAACUACAUGGCUAGAGCAUUGGAGAGGGUAGCAGAAUUCAUGGUGUAGCAGUGAAAUGCGUAGAUAUCAUGAGGAAUACCAGAGGCGAAGGCGGCUACCUGGGACAAUUGCUGACGCUCAGGCACGAAAGCGUGGGGAGCAAAAGGG